UCAGUCGACUCCUACGGGGAGGCAGCAGUGGGGGAAUAUUGCACAAUGGGCGCAAGCCUGAUGCAGCCAUGCCGCGUGUGUGAAGAAGGACCUUCGGGUUGUAAAGCACUUUCAGCAGUGAGGAAGGCGGGGUAUGUUAAUAGCAUAUUCGUUUGACGUUAGCUGCAGAAGAAGCACCGGCUAACUCCGUGCCAGCAGCCGCGGUAAUACGGAGGGUGCGAGCGUUAAUCGGAAUUACUGGGCGUAAAGCGCAUGCAGGUGGUUUGUUAAGUCAGAUGUGAAAGACCCGGGGCUCAACCUCGGAAUAGCAUUUGAAACUAGGCAGACUAGAGUACUGUAGAGGGGGGUAGGAAUUUCAGGUGUAGCGGUGAAAUGCGUAGAGAUCUGAAGGAAUACCGGUGGCGAAGGCGGCCCCCUGGACAGAUACUGACACUCAGAUGCGAAAGCGUGGGGAGCAAACAGGAUUAGAUACCCUGGUAG
rnacentral:rRNA from 1 species